AACAGGGAGAGCCUGGUUCCAGAGGGGGUGAUGGCAUGCCUGGUAAAGAUGGCGGAAGGGGUCCCGUAGGAUCCAUCGGACCCCCUGGUCCAGCUGGCCAAUCUGGUGAUAAGGGAGAGCCCGGUUCAGCCGGACCUCCUGGCCCAACAGGUCCUCGUGGUGGCCCCG